CGAAAUGCGAUAAGUAGUGUGAAUUGCAGAAUUCAGUGAAUCAUCGAAUCUUUGAACGCACAUUGCGCCCCUCGGUAUUCCGUGGGGCAUGCCUGUUCGAGCGUCAUCUACACCCUCAAGCUCUGCUUGGUGUUGGGCGUCUGUCCCGCCUCCGCGCGCGGACUCGCCCCAAAUGCAUUGGCAGCGGUUCCUUGCCCCCCUCUUUGCGCAGCACAUUGCCAUUCGAGGCGGCGGCGGCCCGCGUCCAACAAGCUCAACCCCCCCGUCUUUGACCUCGGAUCAGGUAGGGAUACCCGCUGAACUUAAGC
rnacentral:misc_RNA from 1 species